GUUAAAGCUAUGAGAGGAAAUAGUAACAAGAAAUUCAUACUAAAGAGAGCCGAUGGGUGGUGGAAAUCGGUGUUUGAAGCUUGUGAAUCCCUCCUCGAGUAAGGUAUGGAACGCCUUUUAGGGUCAGUAAGUACUUUCGGGUCAAAACCGUUAAUUUUUUUCAAGGUGGACAGACUAUAUCUGUCAACCAGGGUGGUAACGCGGGUAACUCUCGUCCCUGUU
rnacentral:ncRNA from 1 species